rnacentral:rRNA from 1 species
UUCGGAUUGUAGUCUGCAACCCGACUACAUGAAGCUGGAAUCGCUAGUAAUCGCGAAUCAGCAUGUCGCGGUGAAUACGUUCCCGGGUCUUGUACACACCGCCCGUCACACCAUGGGAGUCGGUAACGCCCCGAAGUCAGUGACCCAACCGGAAGGAGGGAGCUGCCGAAGGCGGGACUGGUAACUGGGGUGAAGUCGUAACAAGGUACC